GUCGGGAGGGCGACUAAUACAAUACCCGUAAGGGAAAUAAGUCCGCGGUUCUUUAGGCCGUUCUGAACCUCCUGACACCACUAU
rnacentral:ncRNA from 1 species